UUAAUUGAAGCCAAAAAGAGGCAUAUUACUGUUAAUGAUACUAUUGAAUGUAAGUUCCAAUUAAG
rnacentral:tRNA from 1 species